rnacentral:rRNA from 1 species
GAUGAACGCUGGCGGCGUGCCUAAUACAUGCAAGUCGAGCGAACAGACGAGGAGCUUGUUCCUUUGACGUUAGCGGCGGACGGGUGAGUAACACGUGGGUAACCUACCUAUAAGACUGGGAUAACUUCGGGAAACCGGAGCUAAUACCGGAUAAUAUUUCUAACCGCAUGGUUCGAUAGUGAAAGAUGGCUUUGCUUUCACUUAUAGAUGGACCUCCGCCGUUUUAGCUGGUGGGUAAGGUAACGCCUUACAAAGGCAACGAAACGUAGCCGACCUGGGAGGGGGUCCGGCCAAAUUGGACCUGGGACCGGCCCCAGCCUCCUCCGGGAGGAACAAGAAGGGAAUCUUCCGCAAGGGGGGAAGGCCUGACGGAGCAACGCGGGGUGAGUGAUGAGGGUCUUCGGAUCGUAAAACUCUGUUAUUAGGGAAGAACAAAGGUGUAAGUAACUGUGCACGUCUUGACGGUACCUAAUCAGAAAGCCACGGCUAACUACGUG